AUUGAACGCUGGCGGCAGGCCUAACACAUGCAAGUAGGACGCAGUUGCGAACGGGUGAGUAAAGCGUAGGUAACUACCUAUUAGAGGGGGAUAACUAUUGGAAACGAUAGCUAAUACCGCAUACUAGUAGAUGGACCUGCGUUGUAUUCGCUAGUAGGUAGGGUAAUGGCCUACCUAGGCAACGAUACAUAGCCGACCUGAGAUGGGGAUCGGCCCAACUGGGACUGAGACACGGCCCAGACUCCGACGGGAGGCAGCAGUAGGGAAUCUGCGGCAAUGGGGGGAACCGUGACCGAGCAACGCCGCGUGAGUGAAGAAGGUUGUCGGAUCGUAAAGCUCUGUUGUUAAGGAAGCGGUACUUAACCAGAAAGGGACGGCUAACUACGUGCCAGCAGCCGCGGUAAUAC
rnacentral:rRNA from 1 species